rnacentral:rRNA from 1 species
AUUGAACGCUGGCGGCAUGCCUUACACAUGCAAGUCGAACGGUAACAGGUCUUCGGGUGCUGACGAGUGGCGAACGGGUGAGUAAUACAUCGGAACGUGCCCGAUCGUGGGGGAUAACGAAGCGAAAGCUUUGCUAAUACCGCAUAAGAUCUAAGGAUGAAAGCAGGGGACCGCAAGGCCUUGCGCGAACGGAGCGGCCGAUGGCAGAUUAGGUAGUUGGUGGGAUAAAAGCUUACCAAGCCGACGAGCUGUAGCUGGUCUGAGAGGACGACCAGCCACACUGGGACUGAGACACGGCCCAGACUCCUACGGGAGGCAGCAGUGGGGAAUUUUGGACAAUGGGCGCAAGCCUGAUCCAGCCAUGCCGCGUGCAGGAUGAAGGCCUUCGGGUUGUAAACUGCUUUUGUACGGAACGAAAAGAUUCUGGUUAAUACCUGGGGUCCAUGACGGUACCGUAAGAAUAAGCACCGGCUAACUACGUGCCAGCAGCCGCCGUAAUAC